GCGUACCGGUGGGCCAGCAGGACGGCGGCUCGGCCAUCGCCGGGGUUGAGUGUCGGGCGUUCCACACGCUCUGAUACGCACC
rnacentral:tRNA from 1 species